rnacentral:lncRNA from 1 species
GUGGGGUUCAGUUUGCUUAGUCUUUAGUGUUCUAUGAUGUGUCUGGUGUACUAUUAUUUGUCUGUUUUGUCUUUUUAUUUUACCAUAGCGUUGUCAGUUCAUUUUCUAUCUUCGAGUUUGACUGUCCCUCUGAUAUCUUGCCUAUGUUGCUAGUUAAAUAGCAACUAUUAGACAUUCAUAUCAUUAGGUUAAUCGACAUCCCUUAUAAAAUAUAUGUAACAAUCGAAAAGAUGUUUAGUUUCAGUUUGUUUGGCUGUCUCGGAUGGGUUAUU